UACGGAGGGUGCAAGCGUUGUUCGGAAUCAUUGGGCGUAAAGCGCGUGUAGGCGGCUUGGCAAGUCGGUUGUGAAAGCCCGGGGCCCAACCCCGGAACUGCAUCUGAAACUGCCUGGCUAGAGUCCCGGAGAGGAAGGCAGAAUUCCCGGUGUAGGGGUGAAAUCCGUAGAUAUCGGGAGGAAUACCAGCGGCGAAGGCGGCCUUCUGGACGGUGACUGACGCUGAGACGCGAAAGCGUGGGGAGCGAACAGG
rnacentral:rRNA from 1 species